GACGAACGCUGGCGGCGUGCUUAACACAUGCAAGUCGAACGAGAAGAGAUGAGAAGCUUGCUUCUUAUCAAUUCGAGUGGCAAACGGGUGAGUAACGCGUAAGCAACCUGCCCUUCAGAUGGGGACAACAGCUGGAAACGCUGCUAAUACCGAAUACGUUCUUUUUGUCGCAUGGCAGAGGGAAGAAAGGGAGGCUCUUCGGAGCUUUCGCUGAAGGAGGGCUUGCGUCUGAUUAGCUAGUUGGAGGGGUAACGGCCCACCAAGGCGACGAUCAGUAGCCGGUCUGAGAGGAUGAACGGCCACAUUGGGACUGAGACACGGUCCAUACUCCUACGGGAGGCAGCAGUAGGGAAUCUUCCAC
rnacentral:rRNA from 1 species